rnacentral:rRNA from 1 species
ACGAACGCUGGCGGCUGCUUAACACAUGCAAGUCGAACGGAGUGGCGAACGGGUGAGUAACGCGUGAGCAACCUGCCUAUGACAGUGGGAUAGCCUCGGGAAACCGGGAUUAAUACCGCAUAGUCAUAGAUGGGCUCGCGUCUGAUUAGCUAGUUGGUGAGCUAACAGCCCACCAAGGCGACGAUCAGUAGCCGGUCUGAGAUGAUGAACGGCUACAUUGGAACUGAGACACGGUCCAAUCUCCUACGGGAGGCAGCAGUGGGUAAUAUUGAACAAUGGGGGAAACCCUGAUGCAGCGCCGCCGCGUGAACGAAGAAGUUAUUCGUAUCGUAAAGUGCUGUCCUAUGGUAAGCAGUACCACAGAAGAACGCUCCGGCUAAAUACGUGCCAGCAGCCGCGGUAAUAC